UACGGGGGGGGCAAGCGUUGUUCGGAAUUACUGGGCGUAAAGGGCUCGUGGGCGGCCAACUAAGUCGGAUGUGAAAUCCCCAGGCUUAACCUGGGAACUGCAUCCGAUACUGGAUGGCUUGAAUUCGGGAGAGGGAUGCAGAAUUCCAGGUGUAGCGGUGAAAUGCGUAGAUAUCUGGAGGAAUACCGGUGGCGAAGGCGGCAUCCUGGACCGACAUUGACGCUGAGGAGCGAAAAGCUAGGGGAGCAAACGGGG
rnacentral:rRNA from 1 species